UACGUAGGGCGCAAGCGUUGUCCGGAAUUAUUGGGCGUAAAGAGCGCGUAGGCGGUCCGAUAAGUCGGCUGUGAAAGUCCAGGGCUCAACCCUGGAAAGCCGGCCGAUACUGUCGGACUAGAGUCCGGAAGAGGCGAGUGGAAUUCCCGGUGUAGCGGUGAAAUGCGCAGAUAUCAGGAGGAACACCAAUAGCGAAGGCAGCUCGCUGGGACGUUACUGACACUGAGGCGCGAAAGCGUGGGGAGCGAACAGG
rnacentral:rRNA from 1 species